rnacentral:snRNA from 1 species
CUACUUUGAUUUCUCCUCAGAUCAUAUAAAUCUUUCUCCUUUUACUAAAGAUUUCUGGGGAGAGGAGCAAUUAUGAGUUGUUAUUCAAUAUAG